rnacentral:rRNA from 1 species
UGGGGAAUAUUGGACAAUGGGGGCAACCCUGAUCCAGCCAUGCCGCGUGAGUGAUGAAGGCCUUCGGGUUGUAAAGCCCUUUCGGCGGGGACGAUGAUGACGGUACCCGCAGAAGAAGCCCCGGCUAACUUCGUGCCAGCAGCCGCGGUAAUACGAAGGGGGCUAGCGUUGUUCGGAAUUACUGGGCGUAAAGGGCGUGUAGGCGGCCCGCUAAGUCAGGUGUGAAAUUCCUGGGCUCAACCCAGGACGUGCACUUGAGACUGACGGGCUUGAGUCCGGGAGAGGAUGGUGGAACUCCCAGUGUAGAGGUGAAAUUCGUAGAUAUUGGGAAGAACACCCGUGGCGAAGGCGGCCAUCUGGACCGGUACUGACGCUAAGGCGCGACAGCGUGGGGAGCAAACA